CCUACGGGUGGCAGCAGUAGGGAAUAUUGCUCAAUGGGGGAAACCCUGAAGCAGCAACGCCGCGUGGAGGAUGAAGGUUUUCGGAUUGUAAACUCCUUUUGUUAGAGAAGAUAAUGACGGUAUCUAACGAAUAAGCACCGGCUAACUCCGUGCCAGCAGCCGCGGUAAUACGGAGGGUGCACGCGUUACUCGGAAUCACUGGGCGUAAAGAGCGCGUAGGCGGGAUAGCAAGUCAGAUGUGAAAGCCUAGGGCUUAACCAUAGAACUGCAUUUGAAACUGUUAUUCUUGAGUGUGGGAGAGGUAGGUGGAAUUCGUGGUGUAGCGGUAAAAUGCGUAGAGAUCAAGAGGAAUACUGAUUGCGAAGGCGACCGGCUAGAACAUAACUGACGCUGAUGCGCGAAAGCGUGGGGAGCAAACAGGAUUAGAUACCCCAGUAGUC
rnacentral:rRNA from 1 species